rnacentral:ncRNA from 1 species
AUAAUGAUACUUCUGUCCAGCCACAGCCCCCUCCUUCCUUUCUGAGAUUGAGGGGAUCACGCAAUGGGGGCAGCCCGGUGAGAACCACGGGGAGGUUAAAUGCCUAUG